AGGGGUUCUGUGCCUCCCUGCUAUGUAGGAGUAAGGUGGUGGGCUAUUGAAACCAUUCCUAGAGCCUGCUGACAAGCAUGGGGGCUGGGCUCUUUGAUGAAGAAUGGAGCGUAAUCUGAUGGCAGUGGAAAGUUGUGGAGAACAGACGUCUAUGCGGACUUCAGACAACACCAAAGGAACCCCUCCAGAGGCAGAUCCAUAAACCAGGACCAGGCACCUACACCUGUGUGUAAAUAAAGUUUUAUUGGACCACA